AUUGAACGCUGGCGGCAGGCCUAACCAAUCCAAGUCGAACGAGUGGCGGACGGGUGAGUAAUGUCUGGGAAACUGCCUGAUGGAGGGGGAUAACUACUGGAAACGGUAGCUAAUACAGAAUACCAUCAGAUGACCCCAGAUGGGAUUAGCUUGUUGGUGUGGUAACGGAUCACCAAGGCGACGAUCCCUCGCUGGUCUGAGAGGAUGACCAGCCACACUGUAACUGAGACACGUGCCAGACUCCGACGGGAGGCAGCAGUGGGGAAUAUGGCACAAUGGGCGAAAUCCUGAUGCAGCCAUGCCGCGUGUAUGAAGAAGGCCUUCGGGGUGUAAAGUACUUUCAGCGGGGAGGCGUUACCCGCAGAAGAAGCACCGGCUAACUCCGUGCCAGCAGCCGCGGUAAUAC
rnacentral:rRNA from 1 species